rnacentral:pre_miRNA from 1 species
GAUUUCAACUGAAAAUAUCAUCAACAACAAAGUUGUAUAACUUAUCAAUAUCUAUAACUUUUAUUUUAGCCAUUUCUUCAUCCAAUAAAGUGAUAGUAACAUUGUUCACAAAAUUUACACAUCUCCCAUAUGGUUUCAUAAACUAUAAGAGACAUAUGUAAAAUUUGUGAACAAUAUUAAUAUCACUUUGUCGGAUAAAGAAAUGACCAAAAUAAAAGUUAUAGAUAUUAAUGAACUAUACAAUUUUGUUGUUGAUAACUUUUUCAGUUGAAAUC